CGCGGGCAGCAAUAAUGGGGCGAGAAUUUAUGGUCUUCUUUGUGUAACCGUCCUCCGUGUUGCCGCCUCAUCUUCUCCACGAGACCCUCUUACUCCUCCGUGCUUUCAUUUCUCCCAGUCCCCCGUCAUUGCUCGCCACCGUCCCGCCUCGGCGCCUCUUCGCUUUAAUUCCUUUCCGCCCUCGCGAUUCGGCGCGGGGAGUCUGCUCCGCUUCGGUUCGCUGCUCCUCUAGCAUUUCCUUUUUGGUUGUUUUCAGGUGGAAGCCUUCAUGAACCAGAUCGCCCGCAACCAGAUGCGCUUCUACGAUCUGUCCUACAAGCUGCUCGGCCGCGUCAUAAACGUAGAGUUCAAGGUGCGUCCUCACCCCCUCCUUUUUUCGCCCAAUCUCGAGUCCAAUUUCGCUCCGCGUCCAGGAAUUUUCUUCAACUGUUUGCGCGGCUCAGAAAUUCGAUUCGGUUUGCUCACUUGGUUCUGUGGAAUUUUGCCAAGCGAAGGCCGACACCGAUGAAGACUACGCGCAGGAUAUGAUCCAGUCGCCUCCCACACAAGAGCUCGCGCAAAGGAUCUGCAUGGCAUGGACUUGCGCAGUUGCGCUUCCACCACAUCUUCAGUGGUCACUUUUGUUCCUUUGGCUUAACAUGUGAGAUCUCUAGCAGUUUUACAGCGCUAGGUAGUAUGCCAGUAUGAUCUGAAGCUGAUUAAUCCAGCAGACCAUUUUGUUGUACGUUGUAGCUUAAUUAGCCAGCAAUACACCAAAUCUGUCUACAAAUUGAAGGACAACCUAGGAGGCAUCUCCUUCAGAGUGGUUGGAGUGUGUUUGUCGAUUCCAAAAUGCUUGUUCCUGAGGAUGCCUUCAUUUUCCUCAGAGAGAGUGGUGAGCUUCGUGUUGGUGUUAGGAGGGCUAUGAGACAGUUUUCCAGUGUGCCUUUAUCAGUCAUAUCUAGCCAUAGUAUGCACCUUGGAGUACUUCACAAGCGGAGCAGCUGGUGGAUAGUCAACUGCGUGGCAGUGACGGGCUCAGGUCAAACAAGGGCACGCUUGAGGUGGAACACAUGGCCGCGUUGCAUCUUGUUCUCAAUCUUCCAGCGAACAACGAGGGCGGUUCAUUGACCAGUUUAUUAACAACCUGGUUUGCCGGAGAAGUUGCCCAUCUUAUUCAAGUUGCACCUUUGCUCCAGAGGUAUUUUACUGAUAAAAUAGGUUCAUGACCUUGCUCAUUCUUAGACUAUUUUUUCUUCUUUAUGUCCGCAAUACUUGGAGCAACUAAUUGACUUGAAAAUAAUGGCUCUGGGAGCAAUUUCAAUUACUUUCAGAACGAUAUGCUACCUCAUCAUAUUAUUGGAAAUAUGCUGAAUAUGGUCAUUGGUGCAACUUUAGGAAUUGCAUUCUUACAUGCAUUAGAUAACCAAGUUCUUUAUUGUGGCAUCAAGGCUUCCAAUAUUUUUGUAGAAGCGGUAAGAUUUCUACUAUUCAAUAAGACAGAGGUGAGGCUUGAACUCCGUCCGGCUAGCUCAGCAGCACAUUAGCUAACCAGUAAUACAUGGAGUCUUUCUCACUAUUCAACAUGACUCAUUUCUGCCAUCUGUUCAUCAACGUCAAGUGCUCAGAACAUAUGCAUUUCUUGAGCCUCAACAUACAUUAAGAAUAUACUUUAGAAGACUUAUCAGCAACUGGCACUCAGUGCUCUUAAAGAUAGGCCGAUGAGAAAUAAUGCGGCACACAUUGUUUCAAAUUACUUUAGACUUAAUUAUCUUACUAUACUAUCUCGUUUUUAAUAUGCCAGAGAGAAAAAGAUUUGCCAUUUUUAGACAGGUUACGAAAUUCAUAAAAAAUGUUUUUGAAAUUAUGAAUCAGAAGCAUCUAGAUUACUUACAAGAAUAUCUUUGUAGCUCAUGAAUUAUUUUGCAAUGGAUGAAAAUUAAAAAGGAAAUAUGUCAUUAGUUUGCUUCUCCUAAAGUAAGAGGUUAUGUCCAAGUUUGGACUUUGUGGCCAUAUAUACAACCUGGAAUUCGCAACUCAUUUUCAUGGUACAAACUUUGGAAGGGAAUGCAGAGCCUAAGUGCAAACUGGACACGUGGCUCCUCUUACACAUGGAGGCAUUGACGACUGACAGGCUGACGGUUAGAGGAAGCGAUUACGAUUUAAGACUAGGCCUUGACGUCUUACUGUCUUAGCAACACAGAGUUUCUGCCUUUACGGUAAAAAAGUAUAUUCUAGAAGUAAUGUCUUUACAAUAGGUUUUCAUUACCAUGUUUGUGCAGUACAUACCUUAGCACGCCAUUAUCCUUUUACUUCAGAUUCUAUAUGGUUGGACCGAACCAACUUCUCAUGUUGUAUUCUUCUUUGGUUGCAGAAACUCAGGUAGUGAUUUUCUUUUUAAAUUAGCCCAUGGCCAUGGGGUGUUGUCCCAGAAAAAGAGUGACGGUAUCUUUCUUGCUUUUACUAGGGAUCAACCUCAAAUGUUGUAUGUUUAGGACAAAAUAAAGGAUCAAAUUGCAAGAUUUUAUGUGUUUAGUUGUGGUGCAUGUUGAUGUUACUGCUCCAUUAAGCUAAUUGCCAGAGGGGUAGUGUUAAAUAAAACCACUUCACGAUGGCUACUUCAGGUAAUUUGUUAGCGCCUUAUACCUAUUAUUGUAUAGCAAUCAGUUUUGUUUUCAUCCAAAGUAGUGUAUCAAAUUGUUAUUUUGUUUUAUCCAGAGGGGAGCAUACCAACAAGUUGAUAUUUAGCGGAUUUUUGUCUUCCUUGUAUUGUAAUUUGAAAUGAAGAAUUCUAAAGUUUUGUGCCUUAUUGUUCCCGCGUUAUGGUUUGGGAUGAACAAUCCUCAUGUUCUUAAGAUUAUUAGACUAAUUUUUCUUCACUUGAUAUUGUAUAUGCUCUUCAUGGGAUUAAGAGUACUUUGUUAAGAUCUUUUUGGCGGAUGGUUCUUCAUA